rnacentral:snoRNA from 1 species
CAAGAGCUCAGACUAAGGCGUACUAUUUUUCUUUUCAGCAGACCGAGGCCCUCCAAAGGUGUCCUAAGUAAGUCAUCACAACUCUUG